ACACCGGCGGCCCGAGUGGUGGCCACUAUUAUUGGGUCUAAAGGGUCCGUAGCCGGUUUGGUCAGUCUUCCGGGAAAUCUGACGGCUCAACCGUUAGGCUUUCGGGGGAUACUUCCAGGCUUGGGACCGGGAGAGGUAAGAGGUACUACGGGGGUAGGAGUGAAAUCUUGUAAUCCCUGUGGGACCACCAGUGGCGAAGGCGUCUUACCAGAACGGGUCCGACGGUGAGGGACGAAAGCUGGGGGCACGAACCGGAUUAGAUACCCGGGUAGUCCCAGCUGUAAACUAUGCUCGCUAGGUGUCAGGGACGGUGCGACCGUUUCUGGUGCCGCAGGGAAGCCGUGAAGCGAGCCACCUGGGAAGUACGGUCGCAAGGCUGAA
rnacentral:rRNA from 1 species